AGUGUGCUCUUGCAAUCGUGACUGGUGUAAGCUGCACACUUCUGCGGAAGUAAAUUUGCCUUGCUGAGACAAUUUCUGUUUGAAUGCUAUUUCUUUUGCAGCACUGAAACUUGUUUCUAACAAAUUUGUGGGCUUGUCUGGGAUUCCCAUUCUCCUCUGGGGAAGGGUCCAGUCCUCUCCUGUGAGGAGGUGUGCCCUGCUGCCUCGUUGUGGUGGCCUCAGGGGUAAGGAAUCGAGACCCCAUCUGGUGUGACAAAUAAACCUGGACUCUCAGCAAUGCAGGAAAAAACAGACCAACAACUGGGAAAAAAAAAGAAAAAGAUCAUCAUAUACCAUGGCAACCAGGUAACUCUGUGCACAGACCAAGCUUUCUGAAUCCCAGCGAAACCGUUAGGUCUGAGAAGAAUGCUCAGCAAGUCAGUGAGACGCACCGAAAACUGCCACGCCUGCAGCCAGCAUUGAUCAACAGAAAGGGUCCAACUCUCCAUGACAAUGCCCGACCUCAUGUCGCAAAACCAACACUUCGAAAGUUGAACAAAUUGGGCUAUAAAGUUUUGUUUCAUCUGCCACAUUACCCUGACUUCUUGCCAACUGACUACCACUUCUUCAAGCAUCUUGACAACUUUUUGCAGGAAAAUGCUUCCAUAACCAGCAGGAUGCAGAAAAUGCUUUCUAAGAAUCAUGAACUUUUUUUUUUGAGAUGGAGUUUUGCUCGUUACCCAGGCUGGAGUGCAAUGGUGCCAUCUUGGCUCACCGCAACCUCUGCCUCCUCGGUUCAAGCCAUUCUCCUGCCUCAGCCUCCCAAGCAGCUGGUAUUACAGGCAUGCGCCACCACGUCAGGCUAAUUUUGUAUUUUUAGUAAAGAGGAGGUUUCUCCAUGUUGGUCAGGCUGGUCUCGAUCUCCCAGCCUCAGGUGAUCCACCCACCUUGGCCUCCGAAAGUGCUGAGAUUACAGGCAUGAGCCACCGCGCCUGGCCCUGAAGCAUGGAUUUUUAUGCUACAGGAAUAAACAAACUUAUUUCUCAUUGACAAAUAUGUGUUGAUUGUAAUGGUUCCUAUUUUGAUUAAUAAAGAUGUGUUUGAGCGUAGUUAUAAUAAUUUAAAAUUCAUGGUCCAAAACCGCAAUUACUUUUGCACCAACCUAUACCUGGAUACACUUUUUCACAAGAUUAACGCGUGCCUCUGAGGCUCAUUCAAAUUCCAAACAGAAUCAUUUGUAAGUUAAUUUUUAUCUCCCUUAUCCAUUCAUUCUCCCUAAUCAUCAUUUACUGCCCUUCAAAAGAAUUGUGUACAUUCCCACGUCCUCCCUCCCCUAUGAAAAAGGGUAGGUACAGCCGGGCAUGGUGGCUCCUGCCUGUCAUCCCAGCACUUUGGGAGGCCGUGGCGGGUGGAUCACCUGAGGUUCAAAGUUCGAGACCAGCCUGACCAAUAUGGAGAAACCCCGUCUCUACUAAAAAUACAAAAUUAGCUGGGUAUGAUGGCACAUGCCCGUAAUCCCAGUUACUUGGGAGGCUGAGGCAGGAGAAUUGCUUGAAGCCAGGAGAUGGAGAUUGCAGUGAGCCAAGAUCAUGCCACUCCACUUCUACUGCAUCCUGGGUGACAGAGCGACUCUGUCUCAAAACAACAACAACAACAACAAAAACAACAAAAAGGCUGAUCAAAGACUCAAAAGGAUGCAGGCACUUGCCUCUUAACCUACGCAUAUCCUUUUAAAAAUUACUUCUUCUCUCUCCAAUACUCUCCCUUUUCCCUUUAAAUAUCGAGACCCCUUAGACUCUUUUUGGAAAAAGCAUGGACCACAGCUUUUCCUGUGGACCUAAGGUCUUUCCUGGGAGUGUCCUUAACUUUGGCAAGUAAGCCUCCUAAAAUAUUCAGACUUACCUCAGUCAUUUUCUUUGAUUUACAAAUGGGAGAAAAAGGUUUGUGUGACUAGUUGGGUAUAGAGACUCUGGAUAUUUUUGGUAUGAAUAUUCGUAUUGUCUGACCCUUUUCCUCCCAGAAAUAGUCUUGUCAUUUGCCAUAGUCUUUCUGUGUUGUUCCGUCAUAAAGAGGGAUAUGAUGGGGGUAGAACAUGGCCUAAAACCCCGUAAGCCCAUUAUUCCAGGUGGCUUUGCACACUGGUCAGUUUUGUGGUUCUGACCACACUGGCAUCUAUUU